rnacentral:lncRNA from 1 species
CACAAAUUGACCUCAAGAUGGAUGAUACUAGGCACAUUCAAUUGACCCCAGAUUUUCCAAAGGUCCCACCUUGAUGUCUUACCAAUGAUGGACUUGCUAAACCGAUACUUGAGCCCUAUAGAGUCUUCGAAAGUUUCAGGACAAUUCCCUUCAACUAUGCACAUGUGGGCUCAAUUAUUAUGCAUAAUGCCAAUAGAUGAUGUGUAUAACCAAUGCCCACGGUCAUGCGCCUAUCUUUAGUGCGCAUAAUGGAUGCCCAUAAUCUUCAAUUAAGUAGAUAC